GGCUACGUACGUGCCAGCAGCCGCGGUAAUACGUAUGGUGCAAGCGUUAUCCGGAUUUACGGGGUGUAAAGGGAGCGUAGACGGAGUGGCAAGUCUGAUGUGAAAACCCGGGGCUCAACCCCGGGACUGCAUUGGAAACUGUCAAUCUAGAGUACCGGAGAGGUAAGCGGAAUUCCUAGUGUAGCGGUGAAAUGCGUAGAUAUUAGGAGGAACACCAGUGGCGAAGGCGGC
rnacentral:rRNA from 1 species